rnacentral:rRNA from 1 species
AGUGAGGAAUCUUCCGCAAUGGGCGAAAGCCUGACGGAGCGACACCGCGUGGAGGACGAAGGCCUUUUGGUUGUAAACUCCUUUUCUGGGGGAAUAAAUGAUGAAGGUACCCCAGGAAUAAGCACCGGCUAACUACGUGCCAGCAGCCGCGGUAAUACGUAGGGUGCAAGCGUUAUCCGGAAUUAUUGGGCGUAAAGCGUUCGUAGGUGGUUUAGAAAGUUUGUAGUUAAAUAUGGUCGCUCAACGAUCAAGUCGUUACAAAAACUCCUAAACUAGAGAUUGGCAGAGGCAACUGGAAUUCCACAUGUAGGGGUAAAAUCCGUUGAUAUGUGGAGGAACACCAAAAGCGAAGGCAGGUUGCUGGGCCAUUUCUGACGCUGAGGAACGAAAGCGUGGGGAGCAAACAGGAUUAGAUACCCUGGUAGUCCACGCCGUAAACGAUGGAUACUCGAUGUAGGGAGGAAUCGACCCCUCUCUGUGUCCAAGCUAACGCGUUAAGUAUCCCGCCUGGGGAGUACGGUCGCAAGAUUAAAACUCAAAGGAAUAGACGGGGACCCACACAAGCGGUGGAGCAUGUGGUUUAAUUCGACAGUAAACGGGGAACCUUACCAGGGCUUGACAUCUCCGGAAUCCCGAGGAAACUUGGGAGUGCCGUAAGGAACUGGAUGACGGGUGCUGCAUGGUCGUCGUCAGCUCGUGCCUUGAGGUGUUCGGUUAAGUCCGUAAACGAGCGCAACCCAUGUCUUAUGUUGUAUAUUUCAUAAGAGACUGCCGGCUCCAAGUCGGAGGAAGGUAUGGAUGACGUCAGAUCAGCAUGGCCCUUAUGCCCUGGGCCACACACGUGCUACAAUGGCCGGUACAAUGGGUAGCCAACCCGCAAGGGGGAGCCAAUCUCAUCAAAGCCGGUCCAAGUUCGGAUUGGGGGCUGAAAUUCGACCCCAUGAAGUUGGAAUCGCUAGUAACCGCAAAUCAGCUAUGUUGCGGUGAAUAUGUUCCUGGGUCUUGUACUCACCGCCCGUCACAUCAUGAAAGAUGGGGGUGCCCGAAGUCGCCUUAUCCCCUCGGGGAGGGUGCCUAAGGUAAAACCAUUGAUUGGGAUG